rnacentral:rRNA from 1 species
AUACGUAGGUGGCAAGCGUUGUCCGGAAUUAUUGGGCGUAAAGCGCAUGUAGGCGGUUUGGUAAGUCGGUCGUGAAAAUGCGGUGCUUAACGCCGUAUGGCGAUUGAAACUGCUGAACUUGAGUGCAGGAGAGGAAAGGGGAACUCCCAGUGUAGCGGUGAAAUGCGUAGAUAUUGGGAAGAACACCGGUGGCGAAGGCGCCUUUCUGUACUGUGUCUGACGCUCAGAUGCGAAAGCCAGGGUAGCGAACGGGAUUAGAUACCCCGGUAGUCCUGGCCGUAAACGAUGGGUACUAGGUGUGGGAGGUAUCGAGUCCUUCCGUGCCGGAGUUAACGCAAUAAGUCCCCCGCCUGGGGAGUACGGCCGCAAGGCUUAAACUCAAAUGAAUUGACGGGG